UACGAGGGGGGCGAGCGUUGUUCGGAAUUAUUGGGCGUAAAGGGUGCGUAGGCGGUUUGGUAAGUCUGAUGUGAAAUCUAUGGGCUCAACUCAUAGUCUGCAUCGGAAACUGCCGGGCUUGAGUAUGGGAGAGGUGAGUGGAAUUCCUGGUGUAGCGGUGAAAUGCGUAGAUAUCAGGAGGAACACCGAUGGCGAAGGCAGGUCUCUGGGCUGUAACUGACGCUGAGGAGCGAAAGCAUGGGGAGCGAACAGG
rnacentral:rRNA from 1 species